GAGGAUAUAAUUUAGUGGUAGAAUGCAUGCCUAACAUGCACGAAGUCCUGGGUUCAAUCCCCAGUACCUCCC
rnacentral:tRNA from 1 species